UACGUAGGGGGCAAGCGUUGUCCGGAAUCAUUGGGCGUAAAGCGCGUGUAGGCGGUCCGGCAAGUCCGCUGUGAAAGUCGGGGGCUCAACCCUCGGAUGCCGGUGGAUACUGUCGGGCUUGAGUACGGAAGAGGCGAGUGGAAUUCCUGGUGUAGCGGUGAAAUGCGCAGAUAUCAGGAGGAACACCAAUUGCGAAGGCAGCUCGCUGGGACGUUACUGACGCUGAGACGCGAAAGCGUGGGGAGCAAACAGG
rnacentral:rRNA from 1 species